rnacentral:rRNA from 1 species
AUACGCCCUACGGGGGAAAGGGGGGGAUCUUAGGACCUCUCACUAUUGGAGCGGCCGAUAUCGGAUUAUCUAGUUGGUGGGGUAAAGGCCUACCAAGGCGACGAUCCGUAGCUGGUUUGAGAGGACGACCAGCCACACUGGGACUGAGACACGGCCCAAACUCCUACGGGAGGCAGCAGUGGGGAAUUUUGGACAAUGGGGGAAACCCUGAUCCAGCCAUCCCGCGUGUGCGAUGAAGGCCUUCGGGUUGUAAAGCACUUUUGUCAGGGAAGAAAAGGUUUCGGAUAAUACCCGGAACUGAUGACGGUACCUGAAGAAUAAGCACCGGCUAACUACGUGCCAGCAGCCGCGGUAAUACGUAGGGUGCAAGCGUUAAUCGGAAUUACUGGGCGUAAAGCGUGCGCAGGCGGUUCGGAAAGAAAGAUGUGAAAUCCCAGGGCUCAACCUUGGAACUGCAUUUUUAACUACCGAACUAGAGUAUGUCAGAGGGGGGUGGAAUUCCACGUGUAGCAGUGAAAUGCGUAGAUAUGUGGAGGAACACCGAUGGCGAAGGCACCCCCCUGGGAUAAUACUGACGCUCAUGCACUAAAGCGUGGGGAGCAAACACGAUUAGAUACCCUGGUAGUCCACGCCCUAAACGUCUCAACUAGCUGUUGCGCCCUUCGGGGCUUAGUAGCGCAGCUAACGCGUGAAGUUCACGCCCUGGUGAGU